AAAAGUAGGUGAGGCGGUUGCGGACUCAAUAUUGAUUUUGGGUCUGAGGAAAGUCCGGGCUCCCUAAAGACCAAGCUUGCUGGAUAACGCCCAGUGCGAGCGAUCGUGAGGAUAGUGCCACAGAAAAAUACCGCCUGUGUAGAUUAAAUAUUCUUUAAGUUUACUAGGUAAGGGUGCAAAGGUGUGGUAAGAGCGCACCAGCAGUGUCGUGAGGCACUGGCUCGGUAAACCCCGGCGGGGAGCAAGGUCGGAGGAACAAUGGUUGGUCUUUUUCCAGUUCCGUUGCAUUAUAGAUUUAUCUAUGAUGUUAGGUGUACCGCAAGAGGUGUCUGGUAACAGGCAUCCUAGAUAGAUAACUGCCCUCUUAACUGGUUUCAGUUGAGAGAACAGAACCCGGCUUACUUCCUACUUUUUCCU
rnacentral:RNase_P_RNA from 1 species